rnacentral:rRNA from 1 species
UACGGAGGGUGCAAGCGUUAUCCGGAUUCACUGGGUUUAAAGGGUGUGUAGGCGGGCUUUUAAGUCAGUGGUGAAAUCUCCAGGCUCAACCUGGAAACUGCCAUUGAUACUAUUAGUCUUGAAUAUUGUUUAGGUAGGCGGAAUAUGUCAUGUAGCGGUGAAAUGCUUAGAUAUGACAUAGAACACCGAUUGCGAAGGCAGCUUGCUAAACAAUUAUUGACGCUGAGGCACGAAAGCGUGGGGAUCAAACAGGAUUAGAAACCCUAGUAGU